GCCUUCGUUGUGUAACGGUAGCCCACUCGGUUCGUAAUUGAGAGGUCCAAGUUCGAGUCCUGGAGGGCGCA
rnacentral:tRNA from 1 species